GGCGGCGUGCUUAACACAUGCAAGUCGAACGGUGACGGAGGAGCUUGCUCCCCCUGAUCAGUGGCGAACGGGUGAGUAACACGCUGAGUAACCUGCCCCAGACUCUGGGAUAACAUCGGGAAACCGGUGCUAAUACCGGAUAUGAGACGAGACUGCAUGGUCAUCGUCUGGAAAGAUUUAUCGGUCUGGGAUGGACUCGCGGCCUAUCAGCUAGUUGGUGAGGUAAUGGCUCACCAAGGCGACGACGGGUAGCCGGCCUGAGAGGGCGACCGGCCACACUGGAACUGAGACACGGUCCAGACUCCUACGGGAGGCAGCAGUGGGGAAUAUUGCACAAUGGGCGCAAGCCUGAUGCAGCAACGCCGCGUGGGGGAUGAAGGCCUUCGGGUUGUAAACCCCUUUUAGCAGGGAAGAAGCGAAAGUGACGGUACCUGCAGAAAAAGCGCCGGCUAACUACGUGCCAGCAGCCGCGGUAAUACGUAGGGCGCAAGCGUUGUCCGGAAUUAUUGGGCGUAAAGAGCUCGUAGGCGGUUUGUCGCGUCUGCUGUGAAAGUCCGAGGCUCAACCUCGGAUCUGCAGUGGGUACGGGCAGACUAGAGUGUGGUAGGGGAGACUGGAAUUCCUGGUGUAGCGGUGGAAUGCGCAGAUAUCAGGAGGAACACCAAUGGCGAAGGCAGGUCUCUGGGCCAUAACUGACGCUGAGGAGCGAAAGCGUGGGGAGCGAACAGGAUUAGAUACCCUGGUAGUCCACGCCGUAAACGGUGGGCACUAGAUGUGGGGCUCUUUCCAUGAGUUCCGCGUCGCAGCUAACGCAUUAAGUGCCCCGCCUGGGGAGUACGGCCGCAAGGCUAAAACUCAAAGGAAUUGACC
rnacentral:rRNA from 1 species